rnacentral:rRNA from 1 species
GACGAACGCUGGCGGCGUGCCUAAUACAUGCAAGUUGAGCGAUGAAGAUUGGUGCUUGCACCAAUUUGAAGAGCAGCGAACGGGUGAGUAACGCGUGGGGAAUCUGCCUUUGAGCGGGGGACAACAUUUGGAAACGAAUGCUAAUACCGCAUAACAACUUUAAACAUAAGUUUUAAGUUUGAAAGUUGCAUUUGCAUAAUUAAAGGAUGACCCCGCGUUGUAUUAGUUAGUUGGUGAGGUAAAGGCUCACCAAGGCGAUGAUACAUAGCCGACCUGAGAGGGUGAUCGGCCACAUUGGGACUGAGACACGGCCCAAACUCCUACGGGAGGCAGCAGUAGGGAAUCUUCGGCAAUGGACGAAAGUCUGACCGAGCAACGCCGCGUGAGUGAAGAAGGUUUUCGGAUCGUAAAACUCUGUUGGUAGAGAAGAACGUUGGUGAGAGUGGAAAGCUCAUCAAGUGACGGUAACUACCCAGAAAGGGACGGCUAACUACAUG